rnacentral:misc_RNA from 1 species
AAGACUAUAGACCUGCGGAGUACCUGCGGAAGGAUCAUUAUUGAAAGAAGACGUCGGGGAUGUUGCUGGCACUGCGGUGCAAAAAAAGUGCACUCCCUGGCGGAUCAACUUUCUUCAAACCUUUUGUGCACUUGCUUGUAGCGUGUGGUUAGGGGUCCGGACUUGGCGUCUGAAACCCCCCCUCCUCACUCUAUGUAUCCCCAUUUUUAAUUCAUGCUCGAAUGUACCAUGAAUGUAGAA